rnacentral:rRNA from 1 species
GAUCCUGGCUCAGAUUGAACGCUGGCGGCAUGCUUUACACAUGCAAGUCGAACGAUGAACCUUAGCUUGCUAAGGGGAUUAGUGGCGAACGGGUGAGUAAUAUAUCGGAACGUACCUUGUAAUGGGGGAUAACUAGUCGAAAGAUUAGCUAAUACCGCAUACGCCCUGAGGGGGAAAGCGGGGGACCGUAAGGCCUCGCGCGAUUAGAGCGGCCGAUAUCUGAUUAGCUUGUUGGUGGGGUAAAAGCCCACCAAGGCGACGAUCAGUAGCUGGUCUGAGAGGACGAUCAGCCACACUGGGACUGAGACACGGCCCAGACUCCUACGGGAGGCAGCAGUGGGGAAUUUUGGACAAUGGGGCAACCCUGAUCCAGCAAUGCCGCGUGAGUGAAGAAGGCCUUCGGGUUGUAAAGCUCUUUUGUCAGGGAAGAAACAGCAGCUCUAACACAGUCUGCGAAUGACGGUACCUGAAGAAUAAGCACCGGCUAACUACGUG